rnacentral:rRNA from 1 species
CUACGGGGCGCUGCAGUGGGGAAUAUUGCACAAUGGAGGAAACUCUGAUGCAGCAACGCCGCGUGGAGGAUGACACUUUUCGGAGCGUAAACUCCUUUUAUAUAGGAAGAAGAUGACGGUACUAUAUGAAUAAGCGCCGGCUAACUCCGUGCCAGCAGCCGCGGUAAUACAGAGGGCGCAAGCGUUACUCGGAAUCACUGGGCGUAAAGAGCGUGUAGGCGGAUUAAAAAGUCAGAAGUGAAAUCCUAUAGCUUAACUAUAGAACUGCUUCUGAAACUCUUAAUCUAGAAUAUGGGAGAGGUAGAUGGAAUUUCUGGUGUAGGGGUAAAAUCCGUAGAGAUCAGAAGGAAUACCGAUUGCGAAGGCGAUCUACUAGAACAUUAUUGACGCUGAGACGCGAAAGCGUGGGGAGCAAACAGGAUUAGAUACCCCUGUAGUC